UAGGGUGCAAGCGUUAAUCGGAAUAACUGGGCGUAAAGCGUGCGCAGGCGGUUUUGUAAGACAGUGGUGAAACCCCGGGCUCAACCUGGGAACUGCCAUUGUGACUGCAAGGCUAGAGUGCGGCAGAGGGGGAUGGAAUCCGCGUGUAGCAGUGAAAUGCGUAGAUAUGCGGAGGAACACCGAUGGCGAAGGCAAUCCCCUGGGCCUGCACUGACGCUCAUGCGCGAAAGCGUGGGGAGCAAACAGGAUUAGAUACCCU
rnacentral:rRNA from 1 species